AAAUUAUAAGAAGGGACCCAACACAGAAAAUUCAUUUUAUUGAAUUUUACAUUUAUGUGCAAGUUGGGCAAAGUGUCUUAUUUUUUAAAAGUAUUUCAAAGUAAAAUUACAUGUUAAUACGUAGUAUUAAUGGCGAGACUCCUGAGGGAGCAGUGCCAGUCGAAGACCAAGGCUGAGACGGCACCCUAGGAAAGCGAAGCCAUUCAAUACGAAGUAUUGUAUAAAUAGAGAACAGCAG
rfam:Staphylococcus aureus subsp. aureus ECT-R 2 complete genome